UCAAGGACAGCUGCAUCACCAACAUCCACCCCAGGAUGGGUGACAGUUCACAAAAGUGGGGAACCUGGAGCACACAGCACAGCCUGCAGCCAAGAGCUUCCACUUCUUAAAGUCAGUGAUUGGUUCUGUUCAGCAACGAUGAUGGCAGAAGAUGAAGGCAAGACUCCAUUACACAGGUACCAGGUCUCAGCAUCACCCUGGCUUCAUGCCUCAAGAGCCCUUGUUCACGAAUUCUAGGUUCCAAGGCAAUGGGGUUGAGAAGGAAGUGAGAGAUGGAGACUUGGAGAAGCAAAAACAGCUGCAGUCCGGAUACUCUCUGCUUUAAAUCGGGACCAUUCCAGAUACAUACACCCCACUGUCAAAAAUAAAUAAGAUAAAAAUGGUAAUUUUUUUGUUUCUCUAUGGUUCCUCAGAUCCAGCA